GCACCCGUGGCCAAAUUGGAUAAGGCACCGGUCUACGAAACCGGGGACUACAGGUUCGAAUCCUGUCGGGUGCGCCA
rnacentral:tRNA from 1 species